GUGUAGCUCAGUGGCAGAGCACUUGCCUACCAUGCAGGAAGCCCUGGGUUCCAUUCCCAGCAC
rnacentral:tRNA from 1 species